GAGGGUAUCACUGUACCAUGUGGGGUAGAAGACAGGCAGGGGAUGAAUUUCUUGUUGGGAAGGGGGAACCUCAGGAUUUUCACACUCAACCUGGCCCAUCACAUUUAGGGCAGAAGAGCAAACUCCCCUCAUUCACAGUGUACCUGCCAGGAAUCUUCAAGAAUUCCAGUCUGUUGGAGUCAGAAGAGACUUUACAAAUGGGGAAAUGGACCCAGAGAGGGGCGGUGACUUGUCCAAUGUCACACAGCCAGUGGGUGGCCAGUUUCCCAACUCUAGAGUUCCAGAGUUCUCUCUCCCAUAGCCUUGCUAUUUUGGGUCACUUUACCCAUCUAUCCAUCCAUCCAUCCACCCAAUUUUUACCAAGCAUCUAGUAUAUGCUGAAAAGGAAAAAAGGCGACUAAGUCACAGUCUCCACCUUCAAGAACUCACAGCCUGGGGAGAGGCUAGGGAAGCAGAUACCCAUAAAUUGAAAAUUUAUGUGAGGUGGUAAUUACAGUGAUGGAGUCCACACUAGGACUGGCUGCCAACCAGCUCAGGGUAGUGGGGAGAUGGAGAUCAGGGAGAGCCUUCCAGGUGGGGAGACAUCAGAGCUGGGCCUCUGUAGAAUGGUAGGAGUUAGCCAGGCCAAAAGGAGGCUGGACAAGGAAAGAAUUUUCCAGGCCACAGAUACUGCAUAAGCAAAGCCAGAGAUGAUCCAUAGCCUGGCAGGUACAGGAGCUGGCGUGAAGAGACCAUAAGAGGAAGGCAGGGAUGGCUGGGCGCGGUGGCUCACGCUCGUCAUCCCAGCACUUUGGGAGGCCGAGGCGGGCAGAUCACUUGAGGUCAGGAGUUCGAGGCCAGCCUGGCCAACAUGGUGAAACCACAUCUCUACUAAAAAUACAAAAAUUAGCCGGGCGUGGUGGCAGGCGCCUUGUAAUCCCAGCUACUCGGGAGGCUGAGGAAGGAGAAUCACUUAAACCUGGGCAGCGGAGACUGCAGUGAGCCAAGAUCGCGCCACUGCAUUCCAGCCUGGGCAACAGAGUGAGACUCUGCCUCAAAAAAUAAAUAAAUAAAUAAAAAAUAAAUAAAAGAAAAUAAAAAAAAGAGGAAGGCAGGGAUGAUGGGAGAUGAAGGUGGGGAGUCAGGGAGCUAUGGUGAGGGCUUGUAUUGAUUGUAGGCACCCAAGAAGGCUUUCAGUGGAUGAAUAACCUAGUCAGAUACACAUUUUAAAAAGACACCUCUGGCAGUAGUGUGGAGAAUGGAUGAGCAAGGCCAGAAGGCAGGAAGCAGGCAGGGGAGCCCAGUGAGGAGGUGGCUGCAGCCAUCAGGCAUGAGUAGAUGACCCCUGAACCAAGGCAAAGCAGGAGGGCGGGGUCUGAGAAGGAUGUGUGUUGUACAUUUGGGAGGAGAAGCACCAGGACCGGGCAACUGAUUGGGUGUGGAGAAGAAAAGGGGACGAGUCUGGGAAAAUGCCUGUAUCUGGGCUUAGGUAGCUGAGGGGAUGGCGGGGCCUUCUGAGAUCAGGGAACACUGGAGAAAAAGAACUAGCUUCUUGGGGAAGGGCUGGAAAGGUCCAGUUACUGGGUGCUGCCAGGCAAGGGAAGGCUGGAAAGGGCUGGCCAGUCUCCACGUCCCCGGUGGAAGCCCAC
rnacentral:lncRNA from 1 species